rnacentral:rRNA from 1 species
GAUGAACGCUGGCGGCGUGCCUAAUACAUGCAAGUCGAACGCUGAAGGCGGAGCUUGCUCUUCUGGAUGAGUUGCGAACGGGUGAGUAACGCGUAGGUAACCUGCCUGGUAGCGGGGGAUAACUAUUGGAAACGAUAGCUAAUACCGCAUGACAACAGUUAUUGCAUGAUAACUGUUUAAAAGGGGCAACUGCUCCACUACCAGUUGGACCUGCGUUGUAUAAGCUAGUUGGUGAGGUAACGGCUCACCAAGGCGACGAUACAUAGCCGACCGGAGAGGGGGGUCAGCCAGACUGAGAGUGAGACACGGCCCAGACGGAUAGGGGAGGCAGCAGUAGGGCAUCGGCAGGCAGGGACGGAGGACUGAGCGCGAAACGCGGCGUGAGUGAGGAAGGAUGUCGGAUCGGAGAGCUCGGUUGUCAGGGAAGAAAGAGUGUGAGAGUGGAAAGUUCACACUGUGACGGUAUCUGACCAGAAAGGGACGGCUAACUACGUG